UACAGAGGGUGCAAGCGUUAAUCGGAAUUACUGGGCGUAAAGGGCGCGUAGGCGGUUAAAUAAGUGAGAUGUGAAAUCCCUGGGCUUAACCUAGGAACUGCAUCUUAUACUGUUUGACUAGAGUACUGUAGAGGGUAGUGGAAUUUCCGGUGUAGCGGUGAAAUGCGUAGAGAUCGGAAGGAACACCAGUGGCGAAGGCGGCUACCUGGACAGAUACUGACGCUGAGGCGCGAGAGCGUGGGGAGCAAACAGG
rnacentral:rRNA from 1 species